UACGUAGGUGACCAGCGUUGUCCGGAUUUACUGGGCGUAAAGAGCGCGCAGGCGGUCGUUCAAGUCGAGUGUGAAAGCCCCCGGCUCAACUGGGGAGGGUCACUCGAUACUGAUCGACUUGAAGGCAGGAGAGGGAAGCGGAAUUCCCGGUGUAGUGGUGAAAUGCGUAGAUAUCGGGAGGAACACCAGCGGCGAAGGCGGCUUCCUGGCCUGUUCUUGACGCUGAGGCGCGAAAGCGUGGGGAGCAAACAGG
rnacentral:rRNA from 1 species